rnacentral:lncRNA from 1 species
GUCUGUAGUCACCAUAUUACUUCAGUAAGCAGAGAAGAACUGGACAACUGAGAGACAGCCCUUCUAUUAUUAAAGCUAUUGUUACUUGCUAUGUGAUUUUCAUGAAAUUGUAAGAAAUCUUAUUAAAAUCUUGUCACUUUACUGAUUACUAAACAUAUAGUAGUUACUGAAUACAUUAGUUUCAGAGCUUCCAAAUAAAAUCUCAACUCCUUUCAUACGAGUAAGGUCUUUACAUUGCUGAUCUGGGGAAUUUACAUGAGGCCAACUUUUUACUACCCAGGCUACUUUCCUUAACCUAGCUCCAAAAGGUGUUACCUUCCCCCGGUGUGGCUGCUGCAUUGCAAAAUCACACUCAUAGUGAAUAUAAUUUGCAGAGGUUUUGCAGUAGCUUUGGGGAAAUUAAAAAGUAGAUUUCGAUUACAUUUUGUGACUUUCAAGCUUUAAAGAUCUUAUCAAGAAUUAAAUUAGGCUAACUUUCUCCAAUUUUUUUUUUUCUUUUUCAGAAGCAUGCAUUGAAGUGGUUAUUUUCUUUAGUGGUUGGGAUAAAAACAUCUUAAUUCAGGUGUUUUAAAGGGUGAUAAAACUGACCCUGCAUGUUAUAGACCAAUCAGCUUCAUUAAUGCUGCAGUUAAAUUGCACAUGAGAAUUUUACUGCAGUAGUUGGAGCUGAUGAAAAAAUUUAAAAGGACAGAUCUAAUAUGUUAAUGGUAGUUAGGUAAUUUCCCAAAUAUCCCAAAGCAAAGCAAUUUUUCUUAUUGAACAUUGAUCUUGUCUUCACUUAUAUUACAGUAUAUUUAUUCAAAGCAAGAUGACAGGCAAAAUGUAAUUUGUGUAACUGUCACAGACAAGACUCGCUUUUGUUGGAAUCCCAGCUUAAGCUACUUGCAGUGACCUCUGAUUGCUUUCUGGUCUUCACUCAGGGCUCAGGACAAGAUAUUAAAAAUUCACAGCUUAGUGAACAAUAAAGUAUUAUUUGAGAAGGAUUGAAAAGCCUUGCUUCCACUUUAUUAAUGUGUACCUGAUUUGCUUAGACAAAUGUAUUUACAUACACAUCGGCAUGCAUGACAGGCAGCGGGGGAAUCUGAGAGCUGGUGACAGUUGUAGUGUCUGGUAAGUACUUACCUUCUCAGUAGGAUAAGGGAAGCUGGCCAUAGAACCACAGGACAAGAUUUCCAAUACUAGCUCUAAGAAGACCAUGCGGCAAGGUGAGAUGAAAACAAUUUGUUAGAAUUUAAGGCUGUUUCUAGAUA